UCGGCUAAAAUGUAGUUGUUUCAAAUGUUGGAAUAUUGUUUUUCAGAGUGUUGAAAUGUUGGAAGCUGGCAGAGGAAGGAAUGUUGCUAGCCUACUUUGAGGGUCAACUUCUCCCACUCAUCAUCAAUGGACAUUUCACUCACUCACAGUACUCGAGGAACGCGAGUUCUGCAGUCACAUAAACUCUGGCAUUCAAAGACAUUCUUUUCAUGUUCAUCUUUUGAUUUUAUGUUUUAUUCAUCAGUAAUGAAUGAAAUCUCAUGCUCUGUUUUCAAAAUCAUGCAGUUUUCGUUUAUAUUUUAUGAUUUAUUCAUUCAUCUUAUUAUUUUGUGUUUUAUUUAUAAGUAAUAAACUAACAUUUUCUGUUUAA